CACGUGCACGCGGGGACCGCUCACGCACGCACGCACGCACACACACGCGGGAUCGAUUUGCACGGGACUUGGUCUGGGAACCGCUGAGAAUCGACUUUAAAAAAAAAUACAAGCCUCGAAAGAAGCAAAGAGCUGGGGCCGAGUUAGGGAGAUGAGCUGAGCCGAGGUGGGAUGAAGCCGAGGGGGGGCGAAAGAGUGACCGCGAGUCGGUGCGGAGAUCUCGCACACAAAACAAAAAAGAAAAAAAAGAUUCCAGGAAAAAGGAUCUCUUCAACCCCCAUACAGAAGCCCUACCAUCGGACAGUCAUGCUUUGAAUUUUUUUUCGUUAGUUUGUUUGCACAAAAUGCGAGAAGCGAGAGCUGAGAGAUCCGCGAAAGAGUCGCCGAAACCACGCGGAGCCAACAGGCUGGACUUGGAGCUCCUUCCCCGGGCUGCGCUCUAUGACCAGCCGCCGCUGCCCGACCCCGGCGAAUCCCUUCGAAACACCUCUCUCGACACCCACGAUACCCCCCCCAACCCACGCACGUCCCGUCCCCGGCAAAAAGCCCGAAUCUGCAUUCAAAGCGCUUCUUUUUUUCCCACGUCUCGAAGGAACCGCUUGUUCUCGCACGUAAGACCAAGAGGAGAGGACGAGCGCUGAUGUGAACACAGGUGAGUUUUGAAACGGGGGGGACCAGCUCCGCUACAAGUCCACCGCCAUGGAGAAGGAAAGACGCUUCGAGAGAGAAUAGGAUCGCGCAGCGACAACAACACACACA